rnacentral:rRNA from 1 species
GACAGAGGUGCCAAGCGUUAGGCGGAAUCACUGGGCUUAAAGCGUGUGUAGGCGGAUCGUUAAGUACCUUGUGAAAUCCCACGGCUCAACCGUGGAACUGCUGGGUAUACUGGCGGUCUUGAGCCACCUAGGGGCAACUGGAACAAGCGGUGGAGCGGUGAAAUGCGUAGAUAUCGCUUGGAACGCCAACGGUGAAAACAGGUUGCUGGGGGUGUGCUGACGCUGAGACACGAAAGCCAGGGGGAGCGAAACGGG